AGUCUGCAACUCGACUACAUGAAGCUGGAAUCGCUAGUAAUCGCGAAUCAGAAUGUCGCGGUGAAUACGUUCCCGGGUCUUGUACACACCGCCCGUCACACCAUGGGAGCCGGAAACGCCCGAAGUCAGUGGCCCAACCGGAAGGAGGGAGCUGCCGAAGGCAGGGCUGGUAACUGGGGUGAAGUCGUAACAAGGUAAC
rnacentral:rRNA from 1 species